rnacentral:rRNA from 1 species
GUGCCAGCAGCUGCGGUAAUACGUAGGGACCAAGCGUUGUUCGGAUUUACUGGGCGUAAAGGGCGCGUAGGCGGCAUGGCAAGUCACUUGUGAAAUCUCCGGGCUUAACUCGGAACGGCCAAGUGAUACUGCUGAGCUAGAGUGCAGAAGGGGCAAUCGGAAUUCUUGGUGUAGCGGUGAAAUGCGUAGAUAUCAAGAGGAACACCUGAGGUGAAGACGGGUUGCUGGGCUGACACUGACGCUGAGGCGCGAAAGCUAGGGUAGCAAACGGGAUUAGAUACCCCGGUAGUCCUAGCCCUAAACGAUGAAUACUUGGUGUCUGGAGGUUUAAUACUCCGGGUGCCGUCGCUAACGUUUUUAGUAUUCCGCCUGGGGAGUACGUACGUAAGUAUGAAACUUAAAGGAAUUGACGGGG